rnacentral:rRNA from 1 species
UGGGGAAUAUUGGACAAUGGGCGAAAGACUGAUCCAGCCAUGCCGCGUGUGUGAAGAAGGUCUUCGGAUUGUAAAGCACUUUAAGUUGGGAGGAAGGGCAUUAACCUAAUACGUUAGUGUUUUGACGUUACCGACAGAAUAAGCACCGGCUAACUCUGUGCCAGCAGCCACGGUAAUACAGAGGGUGCAAGCGUUAAUCGGAAUUACUGGGCGUAAAGCGCGCGUAGGUGGUUUGUUAAGUUGGAUGUGAAAUCCCCGGGCUCAACCUGGGAACUGCAUUCAAAACUGACUGACUAGAGUAUGGUAGAGGGUGGUGGAAUUUCCUGUGUAGCGGUGAAAUGCGUAGAUAUAGGAAGGAACACCAGUGGCGAAGGCGACCACCUGGACUAAUACUGACACUGAGGUGCGAAAGCGUGGGGAGCAAACA